UUUUUUUGCUUUUGCUUCUUUUCCAGAAUCUGUGAGUGCCCCACUUGGAUUCAGAAAAACAUGUCCAACUGGACAAUUCCCAGUGCUCCCCUCUUGAGUUGGGCCGCUCCAGCUAAUGACAAGUGAUACAAAAGCUUUAACAUUCAACCAUUUGUCCAUUUGUCCUUCAAAUUACAAUGGUAAAAUGUAGUUUUUCUAGAGCUCUCUAAAGUGGUUUAGAUUUCUCACCCUCGACACCCCCCCCUUCAGUUCUUCCAAAUAGACCUGGACAAAAAAAGAAUUGUAUUUUAAAUAGAAUACCAUCCAAAAGUGAGUGUGGGAAACUGCUCCUCCUAAGAACCAAAGUAAUAUUUUGCAAAAAAAUAUUGGCAACGUAGUGUUUGCUUUUGUACAUUCAAAAUGUCACUCAAUACCUUGCAUACAGUACUUUUAUAGCUGAAGGUAAUGUGAAUGCUGGCUACUGGGAAAUCACUUUCUUAAAGUUUUGCUUAAGGGAAGCAGCUUAACUUUAAAUACGGCACCCCACGGGAAAAGGGGAGUUCCCAAAAGACUUCAUUAACCUUUAUUAAUUCCAGUGUAAAUUAACCUCCAGGAAAGAUUACACCCUGCUUGUAAGCAGGUUUCCAAAGGAAGAUGCUGUUCAGUUAACUGACCAGGAGUGUGGAGACUGGGAAUUUAAACUUUGUGCUGCUUAUGCAGCAAAAACAUUUGCAAAACACAAAAAUCAAUUCCAAGAAAGCCUUCUUAAUUGAAAUUUCUCAUUUCAGAUUUUUAAAUUUACCUUAGGACAAAAUGUUACCUUAGUAACAUUUAAAAUGCACUAAAACUCAUUUUUAAAUAAACCACAUUCUUGUAAGUUUAUAUUUUCUUGCAUUGUGAAGAUAAAUAAUAUAGUCUCUUAGGAACAUUUUAAAUUUUAAUUCUUACGAUCUGUUAUUUUUAUAUAAAGUAAUAAGACUUUAGUUUUAAAUAAUGUGAUCUUGACAGUGUAACUUUACGCUUUUUUCAUAUAUAAAAAUGGGAGAUUGAGACAACAAAAUCCCUUACAAUCCCUUUAGUUGUAAGAUCUUAUAGUUUAGAAAAAAAAAAUCUUUUCCUCAAUUCUAACCCUCUCAAAUUUCUGUUAUGCUUAUAUCAUCUACUUUACAAUAAUCAUGUUUUAAAUUUAUAAAACUACUUUUUUCGAGGCACUUUCAAAGCCAUUAUCUCACUACUCAUUGGAAAGAUAUGGUUGGGAAAAGGGAUCUUCAUAUUCUCACUCCAUGUUUUUCACUGACAACUGCUAAGCCUAGGGAAUUUAUCAGAGCCAUAAAAUCCUGACCUGGAAAGGUCACUUAAUUUAUACCUUUUAGCAGCCCUCAAUAAAGCUAAGGAUCAGAACAACACUGGAUUUUUCACACUUCAUCCUGUGCCUCUUGAUUAAAUCAGACUCUAAGUGAUUUCUUUCUUUUUUUUCUUUUUUUUCUUUUUUUGGUGUUAUCUGCUAAAUGAUUUAAAAUAGCAGAACUAAAGUACAAUGCAUAUCCCUUCAAGAACAGAAACAUGACAGGCUACAAAUAAUGGUUUAUUUCAGAGUAAAAUCUCACCAAGGAACCUAAGUGGAUAAUAGCCUAAGGAAGUUUCAAAUGUGAGAUGGCUCAAAUUUGAGAU
rnacentral:lncRNA from 1 species